ACUAAAAGCAAGAUUUACCUAUAGGAGAACCAGUUGAGGAUCUAGUUGUUUUUUGAACCUUUCUUCCAUGUAGUCUUUGUUUUUGAAGCACUAAAUUCUGCGUAGUUUUGUAAUUACUACUUUCUAUAAUUUUUGAAGCUUUCCUCACUGUUGUUGAGAAAGAUUUGCUUGGCUCUAUAGAUAUCUUUCUGUAAUUAUUUUUCUUUAAUAAAUCUGAGUGGCAAUACUUGCUUCUCUUUUCCUUAAAAAAAAAAAAAAAAAGAGAUCCAGUUGAGGAUCAGUUCACUCAUGGGUAAUUUCAGUAAAUAACAUGAUUGGGG
rnacentral:lncRNA from 1 species